AGAGUAUCAAUUGGAGGGCAAGUCUGGUGCCAGCAGCCGCGGUAAUUCCAGCUCCAAUAGCGUAUAUUAAACUUGUUGCAGUUAAAAAGCUCGUAGUUGAAUUUCUGCUGUUUCGUUGACUGCGUUUGGCGUUUGUCAUCGUUGCGGCUUGGUUGGGUUUCGAUUAUUCGUUUCCCGGCGUUUACUUUGAGAAAAUUAGAGUGCUUGAAGCAGGCUUUUGCCUUGAAUACUUUAGCAUGGAAUAACGGAGUAGGACUUUGGUUCUAUUUUGUUGGUUUUAGGAGCCAGAGUAAUGGUUAAUAGGAACAGUUGGGGGCAUUCGUAUUUGACUGUCAGAGGUGAAAUUCUUAGA
rnacentral:rRNA from 1 species